rnacentral:misc_RNA from 1 species
AUAAAGCAUCAAUAUGGUUAUCGCAGCAUAUACAACAAAUUCCCUUCCUUACUCGAUCCCAUUUGGGUUCAUCAUCUGGCAAACUGUCUUCAAACAUCUCUUCUGAACCAGCUGCUCGAUUCAGUGCAGAAGAAACUUCUUGUUUUAUUGAGCGCUGCAGCUCAAGUUGCAUAUCCAUGCAUGUCUCCAACAUUCUCUGUAGGUUGCUCAUUCUCUG